rnacentral:rRNA from 1 species
UACGUAGGGUGCAAGCGUUGUCCGGAAUUAUUGGGCGUAAAGAGCUCGUAGGCGGUUUGUCGCGUCUGCUGUGAAAACUCGGGGCUUAACUCCGGGCCUGCAGUGGGUACGGGCAGACUAGAGUAUGGCAGGGGAGACUGGAAUUCCUGGUGUAGCGGUGAAAUGCGCAGAUAUCAGGAGGAACACCGGUGGCGAAGGCGGGUCUCUGGGCCAUAACUGACGCUGAGGAGCGAAAGCGUGGGGAGCGAACAGG